UACGUAGGGCGCAAGCGUUAUCCGGAAUUAUUGGGCGUAAAGAGCUCGUAGGCGGUCUGUCGCGUCUGCUGUGAAAACUCAGGGCUUAACCCUGAGCUUGCAGUGGGUACGGGCAGACUAGAGUGCGGUAGGGGAGACUGGAAUUCCUGGUGUAGCGGUGAAAUGCGCAGAUAUCAGGAGGAACACCGGUGGCGAAGGCGGGUCUCUGGGCCGUAACUGACGCUGAGGAGCGAAAGCAUGGGGAGUGAACAGG
rnacentral:rRNA from 1 species